rnacentral:rRNA from 1 species
AUUGAACGCUGGCGGCAGGCCUAACACAUGCAAGUCGAGCGGAUGAAGGGAGCUUGCUCCUGGAUUCAGCGGCGGACGGGUGAGUAAUGCCUAGGAAUCUGCCUGGUAUUGGGGGAUAACGUCCGGAAACGGGCGCUAAUACCGCAUACGUCCUGAGGUAGAAAGUGGGGGAUCUUCGGACCUCACGCUAUCAUAUGAGCCUAGGUCGGAUUAUCUAGUUGGUGGGGUAAAGGCCUACCAAGGCGACGAUCCGUAACUGGUCUGAGAGGAUGAUCAGUCACACUGGAACUGAGACACGGUCCAGACUCCUACGGGAGGCAGCAGUGGGGAAUAUUGGACAAUGGGCGAAAGCCUGAUCCAGCCAUGCCGCGUGUGUGAAGAAGGUCUUCGGAUUGUAAAGCACUUUAAGUUGGGAGGAAGGGCAGUAAGUUAAUACCUUGCUGUUUUGACGUUACCAACAGAAUAAGCACCGGCUAACUUCGUG